ACUCAAAGGAAUUGACGGGGGCCCGCACAAGCAGCGGAGCGUGUGGUUUAAUUCGAUGCAACGCGAAGAACCUUACCCAGACUUGACAUGCUGUGGAAAGCCGGGGAAACCCGGCCCCCUUCGGGCCGCAGCACAGAUGUUGCAUGGCUGUCGUCAGCUCGUGUCGUGAGAUGUUGGGUUAAGUCCCGCAACGAGCGCAACCCUCGUGUCAUGUUGCCAAUCAUGACAGACUGCCGGUACAAGCCGGAGGAAGGUGGGGAUGAUGUCAAGUCCGCAUGGCUCCUACGUCUGGGGCUACACACACGCUACAAUGGCCGGGACAGAGGGAAGCCACGGGGCGACCCGGAGCGGAUCCCAAAACCCGGUCUCAGUUCGGAUGGUAGGCUGCAACUCGCCUGCCUGAAGUCGGAGUUGCUAGUAACCGCGUGUCAGCAUAGCGCGGUGAAUAUGUUCCCGGGCCUUGUACACACCGCCCGU
rnacentral:rRNA from 1 species